UACAGGGACACUUUUGAAGGGUUCAGCCGGGCGAUGGUUGCCCCGGUCGUAAGGGACUGCAAAUGAGCGGGAAGUGAAUUUGGAAGAAGGCGAGAAAAGCUGUGUGAAUAGAAGAUAGAGCCCGUACCGCAAACCGACACAGGUAGAUAGGAAGAAGAUUCUAAGGCCAACGGGAGAAGGGUUGUUAAGGAACUCGGCAAGUUGACCCCGUAACUUAGGGAGAAGGGGUGCUCUUUAAGGAGAGCCGCAGAGAAUAGGCCCAAGCGACUGUUUAGCAAAAACACAGCUCUAUGCUAAAUCGAAAGAUGACGUAUAUGGGGUGACACCUGCCCGGUGCCGGAAGGUUAAGAGGAGGAGUGAGAGCUCUGAAUUGAAGCCCCGGUAAACGGCGGCCGCAACGAUAACGGUCCUAAGGUAGCGAAAUUCCUUGUCAGGUAAGUUCUGACCCGCACGAAUGGUGUAACGAUUUGGGCACUGUCUCAACAACCUGCCCGGCGAAAUUGUAGUACCGGUGAAGAUGCCGGUUACCCGCGACUAGACGGAAAGACCCCAUGGAGCUUUACUGCAGCUUAAUAUUGAAUUUCGGUAUUUCAUGUACAGGAUAGGUGGGAGACAGGGAACCAUAGGCGUCAGCUUAUGGGGAGUCGACCUUGGGAUACCACUCUUGAGGUGCUGGAAUUCUAACCUGUGGCUCUGAAUCGAGUCAGGGGACAUUGUUAGGCGGGCAGUUUGACUGGGGCGGUCGCCUCCAAAAAGGUAACGGAGGCGCUCAAAGGUUCGCUCAGCAUGGAUGGAAACCAUGCUUUUGAGUGUAAACGCAAAAGCGAGCCUAACUGCGAGACUGACGGGUCGAGCAGUAACGAAAGUUGGAGUUAGUGAUCCGGCGGUAUGUGAGUGGAAAUGCCGUCGCUCAACGGAUAAAAGCUACCCUGGGGAUAACAGGCUGAUCUCCCCCAAGAGUCCACAUCGACGGGGAGGUUUGGCACCUCGAUGUCGGCUCAUCGCAUCCUGGGGCUGAAUUCGGUCCCAAGGGUUUGGCUGUUCGCCAAUUAAAGCGGUACGCGAGCUGGGUUCAGAACGUCGUGAGACAGUUCGGUCCCUAUCUGUCGUGGGCGUAGGAUAUUUGAAAGGAGCUGUCCCUAGUACGAGAGGACCGGGAUGGACGCACCGCUGGUGCACCAGUUGUCAUGCCAAUGGCACAGCUGGGCAGCUAUGUGCGGAACGGAUAAACGCUGAAGGCAUCUAAGCGUGAAGCCGACCUUAAGAUAAGAUAUCCCUUCGUAAGAGUAAGACCUCUCAUAGACUAUGAGUUUGAUAGGCCUAAGGUGUAAGCACAGUGAUGUGUUCAGCCUGCAGGUACUAAUCGGUCGAGGGCUUUUCCU
rnacentral:rRNA from 1 species